GGAAGCUCAACAUGUAAAAAAGUUGAUAUAGGACUAUUUUGCUUCUUUCAUCAAAGUUGGAGAUAAGGCAACUGAGGAAGCUCAACAUCUAAAAAAGUUGAUAUAAGACUAUAUUGCUUCUUUCAUCAAAGUAGGAGAUAAGGAAAUAUUCUUCCUCCAUGUCCGGCUAGCAGUGAUGGAUCUG